AUGGUAGACAACAUGAUUACUGAAAGAACAAAACAAAAAAUACAGACUGGAAUUUGCUAAAAUGUAUGUUGACAAGCCACAGUUUCUGGGAGAAUGUCCUUUGGACUGACAAAACAAAACUAGAGCUUUUCGGCAAGUCACACCAGUUGUAUGUUCAAAGACAGAAAAAUGAAGUUUUCAAAGAAAAGAGCACCAUACCUACUGUGAAACAUGUUUUGGGGCUGCUUUGCUGUGUUUGGCACAGGGGGCCUUGAAUCUGUGUAGGGCACAAUGAAGGCUCAAGACUAUCAAGGCUUCCUGGAGAGAAACAUACUGCCCAGUGUCAGAAAGCUCUCCCUCAGUCACAGGUCAUGGGUCCUCCAACAGGAUAAUGACCCAAAACACACAGCUCAAGAAUGGUUGGGGAAAAACAUUGGACUAUUCUUAAAUGGCCCUCUAUGAGCCCUGAUCUUAUUCCUAUUGAACAUCUGUGGAAAGAUCUGAAAAAUGCAGUGUGCAGAAGGCACCCUUCAAACCUCAGCAGUUUGCUCAGGAAGAGUGGGCCAAAAUACCUGUUACCCGAUUUAGAAGUCUCCUUGUAAACUACCGUGAUCACUUAUUGGCAGAACAUAAUGGCAUCAAAAAUAAUGUCUGAUUUGUGUUAAAGAUGGAAUUAACAGUGAUUGAUGCCAUUAAUGUUUGUCAGUUUCAAAUUAUUUCAGAGAUAGUUGUAGGUUCUUCUUUUUCACGGAAGGGUAUCACCAAUUUUGUCCACGUCUGUACAUGUUAAAAUUUAGCUGUAAUAUGGCUGUGUAUGUGUGUUCAAGAUCAAUGUUCUUAUAUUUCAUCAUUUCUCUUCCAGGCUGUGUAAGUGUAAUCUGACAGAGGAAAGCUGUAGAGUUCUGUCCUCAGUUCUCAGCUCAAACUCCUCCAGUCUGAGAGAACUGAACCUGAGUAUCAAUAAACUGCAGAAUUUAGGAGUGAAGCUGCUCUCUGCUGGACUGAAGAAUCCACACUGUACACUGGAGAUAUUGAGGAUGUGGUGCUGCAGUAUUACAGAUGAAGGUUGUGCUGCUCUGGCUUCAGCUCUGAGGUCAAACUCCUCAUCACACCUGAGAGAACUGGAUCUGAACUGUAAUAAUCCAGGAGAAUCAGGAGUGAAGCUGCUCUCUGAUCUACUGAAGGAUCCACACUGUAAACUGGAGACACUACACAUUACAAAUUAUAAAUUCACAAGGACUGGCGUAUGACAGGAGUCUCACCUCAAACCUCUUUUCCAGGAUAAAGCAGUUUUGGUGAAGCGUUAGAACCCGUCCCACAUUUCCAGCAGUUUGGGAGCUGAAUCAUUCAUAUUCAGAUGUAGAAGUUCCAUAACAAUAACCGUGACUGAUCACAUACUUUUAUCCACUCAGCUACAAGUUACUUCAGGCUUUAAUAAUAUAUUUUACAAUCCAAAGUCAAAUCCUUCAGCAUCUGCACACAACACAGAGAUAUCAUCACAUCAUCACACUGAUUACACAAAUACACAUCCAUGUGUUGUAGCUGUUUAUAGCUUAUUUUUAGCUCCUUACAGUCAAAAAAUUAGGACACCCCAUUAAAUAUUCAGUUCUUUAUUAAGAAAUGUCAACAUCUCAAUUUCUGAUCUUGUUUUAAUUUGUAUCUGUAGAUGAAGGUGAUGUAAUUGCAUGUAAACAACAAAAAAUCACUUUGUUUUCAUUUAUUAAACAAAAGACAUCAACAAAAAUGAGUAUUUAAACUGAGAAAACGUUAGGACACCUGGAGGUAAUUUUAGCCAUUUUAAGUACAAAUAAAUGUGGGGGUGUCCUUACCUUUUCCAAGAAAUUGGAUUUUUUUUUUAAUUACAUUUUACUGAUCAUUUUAAAAAGACUUUUCUUUGGUUUUAUUUGUUUAGUUAUAUUACUUGAAUCUCCCAAUAUUGUUAAAAUGAAGAUCAAAUGUCCAUAUGUUUAACUAUGUUAAAAAAAAAACACAGGCUUUCAUGGUGUGUCCUAAUUUUUUCACAUGAUUGUAUAUCUGUCAGGUUAAUCAGAGUGUGUUUCUGCUCAACAUGGCUUCAUUCAGUGACGCAUUUUUUUCUCCACAGAUGAUUGAUGCAAAGUUGUAAUAUUGAUUUAAUCCUUUUUUACUCAAAGAUUGUUCCUUGUUUGCUAACAUGUUUAAUGGUAAUCAUGGUAGUUUGACUGUUUAAGAUAUUUAGAUUUUUUAAACUAAAAAAUCUCUGAAACUCUUUAACUACAUGCACUGUAUGUAUUCGUGUCAUUUAAUACAGUUUUGUAGAUAUGUGGUGUACAUGUCAUUUACACUAUGUGUACAAAAUAAACAGUGACUGUGACUGAAACACAACAGUUCAGGUGUUUGAGGACUGUACUGUAAUUACACUUAGCAUGGACCACUACCAGGACUAACACGUGUUCCACCACACUGAGAAACUUCAAUGUUGUGUCACGACUCGUGAACGCCGAGCUGGACUUUCUGACUGUUCAUGAGGAAUCUUCUUGUAACCAUGGUGACAGUGACAGUCUCACUGUCAGGAGUGUAGGGAGUAGGAAUUAGCGCGAGUACAGCCUGGGGACCAUGUAUGGAAAUAAAUUUGUGCCAAAACUAAACAUCCAAAUCUAGCAUUUCACAAACACAAUCUGCUUUGCAAAGGAAAACUCAAACAAACAGAAAGUGAUUUGUAAAUACAAAGGGCAAAUAUAAAAAAAAUAUAAGCCUACAUCAUAUUUCACAAAUAAACACAAUCCAUUCUACAAAUCUUUGAACAAAUACAAAAUCCAAUGUAUACAAAUGCAGCUGAGCAACUUCCUCUUCCAGAACAGCAGUUGGUGCUAUUUGUCAGUGUACACUAGUCUCCCUGGAGAAGCUUUACAACACACAUGACAUUACGCCCAGGGAUACAAUUUCAAGUUAAUAGAUAUUCAGGUUGAACUUUCUUGAUUUCUCUACUCUAAAUAAAAGUUUAAAUGAAUUGGUUUAGACACUUCAUUCUACACCCAAAUUCUCUACGGAAUUUUAUACUCAAUUUUAUUUUCUCAAAACUGGUUGGUCUCAGGUUUCUCUUGAUUUCUACUUAGAAAAUUAACAAAAUUCCUCUGAACUUAUCUUGCUUUCACAAACAAAUGUUGCUGGCCUCUAAUUUACAGACAUAACUCACUCCCCCUCCCAUAGGUAUUUAAUUUGGAACAAUUACAAUAUACUUUUUAAAAAGAUAUCCUUAUUUUUUGAGAGAUGGUUUUUAGCAGGCAUAAUACAGUCAGUUAUUAAAUCAAGAAGGAAAGUUGCUCACUUAUUCUGAGUUUCUAGCUGUUUAGCACUUGUGGGGUGCCAUCAGUGACACCUGCUGGGUCCUGCCAGGCGGCCCCCUGUCCAGGGUCACUGAAUGUGACUGCAGCGAGAGGUAAUAAUCAGACUGUUCAUCCAUCUUAGUUCAGACUCUGCUUAUGCUAGUU